rnacentral:lncRNA from 1 species
ACCUUUACAUAAAAUUUUCAUCCGUUACCGUAGAUUUUUUAUUCGCUAAAAAGAAAACUUACUUAAAUAGCAUCAUUUAGAAAUUCCACCGGCAUUUCUUCCUUUCAAGCUUCGGAAGUUGUAUGUUUGACCAUAUAUGGAUCUCAAAUAACAACUUAUAACUAGUAAUCAUUUAAUUCCAUCACCAAUUUUGUUCCCUUUUGAUCCAUCACUAUAGAUUUUCAUUUCGUUGAAAACAGAAAACCUAUUAAUGAAGCAUCAUCGACAUAUUCCGAAAUCAUUUCCACCAUUUCAUGCGUCGAGGGUAGUCUGUGCAUCUAUAUGCACCUCAGAUAGCAACUUACCUAUAGAAAUUGGACAAUUUGGUACAUUUAUUAACCGUUUUUAUCCAUCAUGGUAGAUUUUCUAUUUUUGUGAAACUAAAAACAUGUUUAAAUAGCAUUACCGAUAAGUGAUAGAAGCCUUGCUUCGUUUCUUGUUUCGAAGUUGUCUGUGCCGCCAUUUGAAAAUCCUACAACAACUUAUAUAUGUAGGAGUCACAUAAUUUUUAGUAGUUUUACAUAACCUUUUGAUUUAUUACUUUACAUUUUCUCCUCCUUCGAAUCAUAUAACUCAUUUAAAUAGGACAUUCGACACAUUAUAACAGCCUUUCAAUCAUUCAAUUCUUCGAUAGUAGUCUCGACCGUCGUAUGGAAGUCAUAGAACAGCUCAUCCAAAUAAAUUAUUCAUGUUUAGCACCAUUACAUAAACUUUUUUUCCGUUAACGUAGAUUUUUUAUACGCUAAAAAGAAAACUUACUUAAAUAGCAUCAUUUAGAAAUUCCACCGGCAUUUCUUCCUUUCAGGUUUCGGAAGUUGUAUGUUUGACCAUAUACGGAUCUCAAAUAACAACUUAUAACUAGUAAUCAUUUAAUGCCAUCAACAAUUUUGUUCCCUUUUGAUCCAUCACUAUAGAUUUUCAUUUCAUUGAAAACUGAAAACCUAUUAAUGAAGCAUCAUCGAC